rnacentral:rRNA from 1 species
AGUGAACGCUGGCGGUAGGCCUAACACAUGCAAGUCGAACGGCAGCACAGUAAGAGCUUGCUCUUACGGGUGGCGAGUGGCGGACGGGUGAGGAAUACAUCGGAAUCUACUUUUUCGUGGGGGAUAACGUAGGGAAACUUACGCUAAUACCGCAUACGACCUACGGGUGAAAGCAGGGGAUCUUCGGACCUUGCGCGAUUGAAUGAGCCGAUGUCGGAUUAGCUAGUUGGCGGGGUAAAGGCCCACCAAGGCGACGAUCCGUAGCUGGUCUGAGAGGAUGAUCAGCCACACGGGAGCUGAGACACGGUCCAGACUCCUACGGGAGGCAGCAGUGGGGAAUAUUGGACAAUGGGCGCAAGCCUGAUCCAGCCAUACCGCGUGGGUGAAGAAGGCCUUCGGGUUGUAAAGCCCUUUUGUUGGGAAAGAAAAGCAGCAGGUUAAUACCCCGCUGUUCUGACGGUACCCAAAGAAUAAGCACCGGCUAACUUCGUG